rnacentral:lncRNA from 1 species
CGUCAGGUGUGUAUCGCCUCUCUCAGGUGAAGAAGUAUUUAACUCAGGUGUGUUUCUCCUCUCUACAGGUGUAGAAGUAUUUAACUCAGGUGUGUUCUCCGCUACGAGGUGUAGAAAGUAUUUAACUCAGUGUGUUCUCCUCUCUACAGGUGUAGAUGUAUUUAACUCAGGUGUGUUCUCCUCUCUACAGGUGUAGAAGUAUUUAACUCAGGUGUGUUUCUCCUCUCUACAGGUGUAAGAAGUAUUUAACUCAGGUGUUUCUCCUCCUCUACAGGUGUAGAAGUAUUUAACUCAGGUGUGUUCUCCUCUCCCAGGUGUAGAAGUAUUUACACUCAGGUGUGUUCUCCUCUCUACAGGUGUAGAAGUAUUUAACUCAGGUGUGGUUCUCCUCUCUACAGUGUUAGAAUGGAUUUAACUCAGGUUGUUCUCCUCUCUCCAGUGUA